UCUGCUCCACCACCAGGCCCCGGGUCCAGAAGAGAAUCGCUCCCUUGGGGGCAAACUUUAUCCGUCUACAACGGCUGACCUUUGACCUCGUUGCUCACCAUUGACACAACGAUCCACCAGCAACAGGUCGCCUGCUGUCAACAGCCAUUCCGGUUCCUCCGAUGUAUGGGAGGUUUUAGAGCAGACUUGUUUCCGGCAGGAUGUGGGGAGGGGGCUUUGGCUGCCCACCUAUAGGUGCAGGGAAGUGGGCUCCGCCCUAAAGGGAUCCCUCUUCUCUCAGGCACUGCUUUGCACUUUGAACAUGGAGCCAAGGGUCAAGGUGGUGUAGUGGACUGACUGUAGGGAACAAUCCAGUCUGCAGUGGAUUGUGGGAAGCAUCCAGGUUGAAGGGUGAAAUAACGACCCGGAGUAAGCUGAAGAAAUCGGUUAUUUAAUAUCAAAAGCUUCACAAGAUCAGGUCCUUUAGGAUAAGUCGGCUCAGACUGCAACUCAACCAACCACUGAAAAUAGUACCCACCAUACUUCAUGGACUUCAAUGAGACAACAGGUGUGUGAACGCGAUGGGAGCUUCGUUGUCGCGCAGUGUGUUGUUCGGUAAGAAGAAGAAACACAAGCCGGCUGUGUUCAGGGCCUUGAGCGUGCUGAGGGGGGCGCUGCACAUUAAGACACCAAAGAAGAAGAAAAACAACAACAGCCUUCUCACGCUACACGGCUGGGGGACAAAGAAGCAGAAGAAGCAAAAGAGGGAGGGCCCUUUCAAGAGCUGGCUCUCAUUGGAUGGGAAGGGCAAGAAGAAGAGCAACAAAUCGUUUGGCAACAGCAUUCCAAAGGACUCUGUAUUCAAGCAUCUACCAAGAAGACGGAAGGACGGGAAUGAUGAAGGGAGUGGAAAAGAAGAGAAGGAGACUAAGGGUGGUUUACUUUCCAACAAAGGUCCUCCCCGACCUUUCGUAUUGUAAUCUCAGGUACACAAUGGAACAUUGAUUAGAGCAUCCCAACUCCCCUCCCCUAUUUCUGGAUUUAUAGCUUCCAAUAGACUUGCAGCCUUUUAAAUCAGCCACACCCCCCCAGACUUAAGACAUUUGCAGGUAUCAAGCGUUUAAUGAUAGGUCAGUUUCUAUGGGUUAAACAUGCAAAUUCAACGUUGGGAUUCAACCCACAAUGCCAUCAUGUCUGCUGGGUUACAGUUCAAAGGUCAGAUCUUUAAAUAUAUUAACAUUAUGAGAUUGAUUUGAUGUGCACAUGCAAACCAAGAGAACAAAACGAUAAUUCUAAAACGACCCCCCCCACCCCCUCCUUCAGAGUACCCUUGGAUUAAGAAAAAAAAGUGCAACAACUUCACCAAAGAAAUACAAGUUAUACAUGGAUUCAGCCUUUGAUUGUGAACAUUUUAAAA